rnacentral:rRNA from 1 species
CAAUAGCAUAUAUUAAAGUUGUUGCGGUUAAAAAGCUCGUAGUUGGAUUUCUGCUGAGAACGACCGGUCCGCCCUUUGGGUGUGUAUCUGGCUCUUUCUUGGCAUCUUCUUGGUGAACGUUGCUGCACUUGACUGUGUGGAGCGCUACCCAGGACUUUUACUUUGAGGAAAUUAGAGUGUUUCAAGCAGGCAUACGCCUUGAAUACAUUAGCAUGGAAUAAUAAGAUAGGACCUCGGUUCUAUUUUGUUGGUUUCUAGAGCUGAGGUAAUGAUUAAUAGGGAUAGUUGGGGGCAUUCGUAUUUAACUGUCAGAGGUGAAAUUCUUGGAUUUGUUAAAGACGGACUACUGCGAANGNAUUUGCNAAGGAUGUUUNCAUUG